AGCCCGGUGGUGUAGCGGCCAAGCAUACCGGCCUUUGGAGCCGGUGACGGCGGUUCGAAUCCGCCCCGGGCUA
rnacentral:tRNA from 1 species